GCCUUCGCGGUGUAGUGGUCAGCACACUCGGCGCGUAUUCGAGAGGUCCGUGGUUCGAGUCCUGGCGAGGGCA
rnacentral:tRNA from 1 species